UACGUAGGGGGCAAGCGUUGUCCGGAUUUAUUGGGCGUAAAGAGCGUGUAGGCGGCCUGGUAGGUCAGCUGUGAAAACUCGAGGCUCAACCUCGAGACGUCGGUUGAAACCACUUGGCUAGAGUCCGGAAGAGGAGAGCGGAAUUCCCGGUGUAGCGGUGAAAUGCGCAGAUAUCGGGAAGAACACCCGUGGCGAAGGCGGCUCUCUGGGACGGUACUGACGCUGAGACGCGAAAGCGUGGGGAGCGAACAGG
rnacentral:rRNA from 1 species